rnacentral:rRNA from 1 species
GUGCCGACAACGGGUAGCCGGGUUGAGAAACCGACCGGCCAGAUUGGGACUGAGACACGGCCCAGACUCCUACGGGAGGCAGCAGUGGGGAAUCUUGCGCAAUGGGGGGAACCCUGACGCAGCGACGCCGCGUGCGGGACGGAGGCCUUCGGGUCGUAAACCGCUUUCAGCAGGGAAGAGUCAAGACUGUACCUGCAGAAGAAGCCCCGGCUAACUACGUGCCAGCAGCCGCGGUAAUACGUAGGGGGCGAGCGUUAUCCGGAUUCAUUGGGCGUAAAGCGCGCGUAGGCGGCCCGGCAGGCCGGGGGUCGAAGCGGGGGGCUCAACCCCCCGAAGCCCCCGGAACCUCCGCGGCUUGGGACCGGUAGGGGAGGGUGGAACACCCGGUGUAGCGGUGGAAUGCGCAGAUAUCGGGUGGAACACCGGUGGCGAAGGCGGCCCUCUGGGCCGAGACCGACGCUGAGGCGCGAAAGCUGGGGGAGCGAACAGGAUUAGAUACCCUGGUAGUCCCAGCCGUAAACGAUGGACGCUAGGUGUGGGGGGACGAUCCCCCCGUGCCGCAGCCAACGCAUUAAGCGUCCCGCCUGGGGAGUACGGCCGCAAGGCUAAAACUCAAAGGAAUUGACGGGGGCCCGCGCAAGCAGCGGAGCAUGUGGCUUAAUUCGAAGCAACGCGAAGAACCUUACCAGGGCUUGACAUAUGGGUGAAGCGGGGGAGACCCCGUGGCCGAGAGGAGCCCAUACAGGUGGUGCAUGGCUGUCGUCAGCUCGUGUCGUGAGAUGUUGGGUUAAGUCCCGCAACGAGUGCAACCCCCGCCGCGUGUUGCCAUCGGGUGAUGCCGGGAACCCACGCGGGACCGCCGCCGUCAAGGCGGAGGAGGGCGGGGACGACGUCAAGUCAUCAUGCCCCUUAUGCCCUGGGCUGCACACGUGCUACAAUGGCCGGUACAGAGGGGUGCCACCCCGCGAGGGGGAGCGGAUCCCGGAAAGCCGGCCCCAGUUCGGAUUGGGGGCUGCAACCCGCCCCCAUGAAGUCGGAGUUGCUAGUAAUCGCGGAUCAGCAUGCCGCGGUGAAUGCGUUCCCGGGCCUUGCACACACCGCCCGUCA